GGUAAGAAAAAUAGAGAGACGAAUGAACAUAUGAAAAUUGAGCAUCAUGUUUUUUCACAUUUACCGCAAUAUUCAAUAGAAAAUAAAUUGAACAAAAAAAGUUUUGAAGAUCACAAUUUAUUUGAGUGAUUGAUAAGAGGGUCAAAAUGUUACCGUAACGUCUAAGCCAUAAGUGUUGCUAUAACGUCUUAUAUGGUCUGACAUGGUUUAGAC
rnacentral:lncRNA from 1 species